rnacentral:rRNA from 1 species
GACGAACGCUGGCGGCGUGCUUAACACAUGCAAGUCGAACGGAAAGGCCCUGCUUUUGUGGGGUGCUCGAGUGGCGAACGGGUGAGUAACACGUGAGUAACCUGCCCUUGACUUUGGGAUAACUUCAGGAAACUGGGGCUAAUACCGGAUAGGAGCUCCUGCUGCAUGGUGGGGGUUGGAAAGUUUCGGCGGUUGGGGAUGGACUCGCGGCUUAUCAGCUUGUUGGUGGGGUAGUGGCUUACCAAGGCUUUGACGGGUAGCCGGCCUGAGAGGGUGACCGGCCACAAUGGGACUGAGAUACGGCCCAGACUCCUACGGGAGGCAGCAGUGGGGAAUAUUGCACAAUGGGCGGAAGCCUGAUGCAGCAACGCCGCGUGCGGGAUGACGGCCUUCGGGUUGUAAACCGCGUUCGCCUGUGACGAAGCGUGAGUGACGGUAAUGGGUAAAGAAGCACCGGCUAACUACGUG